rnacentral:rRNA from 1 species
UACGUAGGGGGCAAGCGUUGUUCGGAUUCAUUGGGCGUAAAGGGUGCGUAGGCGGCGCGGUAAGUCGGGUGUGAAAUCUCGGGGCUUAACUCCGAAACUGCAUUCGAUACUGCCGUGCUUGAGGACUGGAGAGGAGACUGGAAUUUACGGUGUAGCGGUGAAAUGCGUAGAUAUCGUAGGGAAGACCAGUGGCGAAGGCGGGUCUCUGGACAGUUCCUGACGCUGAGGCACGAAGGCCAGGGGAGCAAACGGG